UCUUCUGCGGGCUACGUUACCAAAGGGUUAAAUAAAUAUAUAUCUCGAGGGAGAAGAGCACGUCAGUGGAAGAAAGCCGGCAGAAAAAGUAAGUAUUUAAAAAAAAAAAAAAAAAUAAUUGAGGUGAUAGACGGAUGGAUGGAGUCAUGGAGAGACAUAUUUAUGCCCCUAGAGGGUGGCUGGGGAGUGGGGAUAUAAUCAGUUGAUUAUGAAUAUUAUUGAAACAUAUUUGCAGGCCUGCAGUGCACCAUGUCUGAAAUGUGUGCAGUUGAUGUUCAGUCCCCUAUAACCUCUGUUCUUCCAUAUUGACGAUAUUCUAUUUAAUAUGAAAUGGGAACCAAAAUGGGUGGACUGGUAGGUGGUACAAAGCAAAUGGCAACUGCUCAAAACAGCACACAUGUAUGACCUCAAUACCUUAAUUGUGCUUUUAACUUCAUUAUUACCUGGACCGGAGAUUUAUUAG